GAAUCCGUCAUGAGAAGGGCACAUGGUGGAUGCCUCGAUACGCGAGCGGCGAUGAAGGACGUAGCAGCCUGCGAUAAGCCUCGGGGAGGUGGCAAGCAACCUUUGAUCCGGGGAUCUCCGAAUGGGGGAACCCCUCCGGCGCGCAUAACGUCGGAGAUCCUUGCCUGAAUUUAUAGGGCAAGGAAGCGCACCCGGUGAAGUGAAACAUCUCAGUAACCGGAGGAAAAGAAAAUAACAUAUUAUUCCCUUAGUAGCGGCGAGCGAAAAGGGAACAGCCUAAACUGUAGAGGUUCCCAUGCUUUAAUUCUCUUACUCCGCAAGGAGUAAGAGAUGAAGAGUGUGGACGGCUUACAAGGCCUUAUACUUAUACAGGGUUGUAAGACAAAUCUAUACCGGAGCUUGUAAAUCCGGGAGGAGCCUAUGAACAAGACUUCCCUAGUGGAAUCCCGUGGAAUACGGGAGCCAGAGUGGGUGAGAGCCCCGUACGCGAAAGGGGUUUUGUGCUCCUUAGAAUUGUUCUUAAGUACGUCGGGACCCGUGAAAUCCCGGCGGAACCUGGGCCGACUAUGGCCUAAGGCUAAAUACGCUCCGUAAUCGAUAGUGAACAAGUACCGUGAGGGAAUGGUGAAAAGCAGCCCGGGAGGGCGAUGAAAUAGUAUCUGAAACCAUGUGCUUACAAGGAGUCAACGCCCGCCGAAAUUUUCGUAAGGAAAUUUAGGUGGGUUAUGGCGUGCCUAUUGAAGAAUGAGCCAACGAGUUUGUCUGCGCUGCUUGUCGAAUCCCGAUCAAUCGGGAGAAGGCAUAGUGAAAGCGAGGCUUCAACAGCCGUUAUGGCACCGUAGACAAGACCCGAAGCCGGGUGAUCUAGUCAUGGACAGGGUGAACCACGUAGAAAUACGGGGGGAGGCCCGAACCCACCAGCCGUGCAAAACUGGGGGAUGAUCUGUGACUAGGGGUGAAAUUCCAAUCGAACUCGGGAAUAGCUGGUUCUCCUCGAAAUAGCUUAAGGGCUAGCCUCUCUAUAAACCGUCCGGGGGUAGAGCUACUGAAUGGUUCGGCAUGGCGCAAGCCUAGUCGAGCCAACCAAACUCCGAAUACCGGCCGGCAUGAUAGGGGGAGUCAGACUAUGGGGGCGAAGCUCCAUUGGUCACAAGGGGAAGAGCCCACGACUGCGAUAUAAGGUCCCUAAAUCCAAGCUAAGUGUAAAAGGGAGUGUAGUGACUUCGACAACUAGGAGGUUGGCUUAGAAGCAGCCAUCCUUUCAAGAUAGCGUAACAGCUCACUAGUCAAGUCGCUAUGCACCGAAAAUGUACCGGGGCUAAGCUUGGUACCGAAUGUGCAGACCUGUCAGUGCUUUGCACUGGCAGCGUGGUAGAGGAGCGUCCCGUAUGCCGUAAAGUCAGACCCGUGAGGGCUGGUGGAGCGUACGGGAGUGAGAAUGUUGGCAUAAGUAGCAGGAAGGAAGGUGAGAAUCCUUCCCACCGCAAGCCUAAGGGUUCCCCGACAACGAUGAUCGGUCGGGGGUGAGGCGGUCCUAAGGCGAGGCCGACAGGCGUAGCCGAUGGAAAAGCUGGUUAAUAUUCCAGCCCCUUGUUUAUAUUUGUAUGGUGCUGACGCAUCUUAGUGUGGGAUCCUGCUUUGGUUAUGUAGGUUGUUGUCUCGAUUUAUCGGGAUGACUGGAAACAAAGCCUUCGGGCAGCGUGAACUUCCGUAAUAAGGUGCCGGGAAAAGGUACCAUGCGUUAAGUAUAGGCAGGUCCGUACCGCAAACCGACACAGGUGGGCGAGCAUAAGCGUGCUCAAGGUGGACGAGAGAACCCUCGUUUAGGAACUCGGCAAUUCAGUGGCCGUAACUUUGGAAUAAGGCCUCCCCCGAUUUAUCGGGGGCGCAGUGAAUGACCUCAAGCGACUGUUUACCAAAAACACAAGUCCCUGCUUCAAGCCGCAAGGCGACGUAUAGGGGCUGAUGCCUGGCCAGUGUCAGAACGUUAAGGGGAGGGGUGAACACCGAUGCUUCGCAUCGGGAAUGACCAAUAACCAAUUUCCAAUUUCCAAACAAUAUCCAAUGAACAAAAUUCAAAUGACCAAAACUUGUUUUGAAUUUUGAAUUUGGAGUUUCGAAUUUGUUUGGGAUUUAGUGUUUGGGAUUUGGGAUUUCCGACGCGGGGCGUCGGCCGUAGCUUUGAACCGAAGCGCUGAUGAACGCCGGCGAUAACUAUGAGUGACGAUUGUAGUUAUCUCAAUAAAUCUAGCUAUAUGCGGGAACAUCUACUCAAGGUGCAAGUACUCGUCUCGAUGAGGGACAGUAAAAAGUUUGCAUCAGUUUUUUUGAGAACGGUAGACAAUCCGCAGGAAAGGCUCUUGAUAUGCAAGACAAUAUCCAAUGGUUGAAGCAAAUUUCACCUGCGAUAGGAUACUAUCUGGCGGGGUUUGCAGAUGGGGAAGGGAGUUUUAAUGUUUCACUUCGCCGUCGUGAUGAUCAUGCGAUGGGAUGGCAGGUGGUACUUACGUUCAACGUGUCACAGAAGGACAGCCGAAUCCUGGCGUACUUUAAAAGAUACCUCGGAUGCGGGAGACUCCAAGAACGACAGGACGGCGUGUACUACUAUGUGGUAUCAAAUCCACGUUCGAUUAUCGAGCGCAUCAUUCCAUUUUUUGAAAAGUAUCGUUUUCUCUCCUCAAGGAAGUUAUUUAAUUUUGCGAUUUUUAAACAGAUCGCAAUGUUGGUUGAAAAGAAUCAACACCUCACACAGGAAGGACUGAAUAAGAUUGUCCAGCUUCAUGAGAAAUUGAAUGAAGGACGGGGAAGGAAACGAAAGUAUAACGUGAGUGAUUAUCAACAAUCACUCCAAGAGAAUCCUCAGAGACUAUACGCUAGACCUUUGCCGCGCGCGAAGCGUAGCGAGGAUGAUAUAGUCCGAUCUCAUGGGUGACCAUGAGUUAACAUCACGAAUCGUCCUAAGGUUUUCUAAAUCAGAAGGAAACGAUGAUUUAGAAAAGGAUUGGGACGAUUCGGAAAAAGUUUAGCUGCCUCGUUUCACAGUAAUGUGAAAUUGGUCCAAAACAUGGCUGUAUGCUGGGAACCCGAUAUGCUUCGGGCAAUCAGCAGGGAAGUCCUUUGUGACCCCUCAGAGACCACACGCCGUGCUCCCAGUUAAUUGGGAUGAAGAUAUGGUCCAUCGCAUAAGGGAAGCGAUAAGCGAAAUUCCUUGUCGGGUGAGUUCCGACGUGCACGAANNNNNNNNNNNNNNNNNNNNNNNNNNNNNNNNNNNNNNNNNNNNNNNNNNNNNNNNNNNNNNNCACCCCGGUUCUUUUUUAGAUCUCACUUCGUUCCGUGAAUCCGGAAUGUGAGGACAGUAGCUGGUAGGUAGUUUAACUGGGGCGGUUGCCUGGAUACGUGAUGUAAUUCCGUUACGCCUCAACUGGUAUGGUUGGGGACGCAUCACGCGGGCGUCCUUGCGGCAACGCAAGGAGCAAACUUGGCUAUAUGCUGGAACAUCUGGCGUAUCCAACUGUACUUUGGUAACAUUCAAUCAUUAUCACAAAUAGUUGAUGUGCCAAAGUGAAUAUCAGUUUGGUGCAGACAACCAGCAGGGAAGUUCUUCGGUAAUAAAUUGGAGAACCCCUCAACGACUAUACGCCAAGUAUCCAUGUAUAUACAUGGAUAAUGAUAUAGUCUGAACUGCAUAGCGACAUGCAGAGUCUCUUAUUAUUUUAAGAGACGCUUAAUCAUAUGAAUUCUAGAGAAAUUCGAAGUAUUUCAGAGUCAGUGCGUCUCACGGAUCGGCAAAGAGAAAUCAUUACCGGCCUGUUGUUAGGCGACGGACAUCUGGAAACUCAAAAUAGGGGAAGAACAUUUCGACUCAAAGUGGAACAUUCCAAACACCAAAAAGAUUAUGUGGAUUGGUUGUAUCAACAGUUGAAUAAUAUGGUGCUCACUCCACCACAGUCAAAACUGCAAACAGUGGCGGGAAAGGUAUAUGAAAAGUAUUGGUUCUCGACCAUCAGCAGCGGCGCAUUGCGGUUUUAUGCGCAACAGUUUUAUCUGAGCCGGAGAAAAGUCGUACCGAAGAUGAUAGCGAAGCUUGUCACUCCACUUUCACUGGCAGUUUGGUUUAUGGAUGAUGGUUCUCUGAAAUCACGAUUCCAUAGAGCGCGAAUCAUCAAUACGCAUUGUUUCGACCGGAUAAGCCUUCAAAGGCUUCGGGACAUGUUACAGCAACAAUUCCAUGUUCGCACGACCUUGAGGAGACAGAGUGAAGGGAUGCAAUUAUAUAUUCCUUCAUCUGAUAUCGAAACGUUCAUCAAUCUCAUCAAGCCCCACAUCCAUCCCUUGAUGGAAUACAAGAUUAAGUUAACAUAAUUGCCUAAAUGGUAACGGAGGCGUUAACUAAGGUUGGCUAUUCCGGAAUGGAAACCCGGAAGAUAGGGCAAUGCCACAUGCCAGCUUUACUGCAAGGGGUACAUCCCGCGCAGUUGCGAAAGCAGUACAUAGUGAACCGACCGUCGCUCAUAGGAGCGCGGAAGAUCAACGGAUAAAAGCUACUCCGGGGAUAACAGGCUGAUCGGGUCCGAGAGCCCAUAUCGACGACCCGGUUUGGCACCUCAAUACAUCGGGGUGCUGCAAGAGUGAUCCUGUACCAAAAAUUCGGCUUAUAACGGUGAACCCGUCAGUGAUAUCAUGAACCUAUAUCACCCGGCAACACCGUGGGAAGUUAUCCGCCUCAGGCGGAUUGACCCCGUAACGACUGACCCGAAAGGGAAGAUCCGGCUUAUGUCGGAUCACACGCCGACGCUCGCCAACGUACACCGAGAUUAUGUUCACGUCAUGUGGACUACGAUCCGGGGCGAGAUGAAGAUAUAGUCUACCCCAUGAGAAAUCAUGGAAUCCGACAGCGAUGUCGGCUCAUCGCAUCCUGGGGGUGCAGAAGCUCCCAAGGGUUUGGCUGUUCGCCAAUUAAAGCGGUACGCGAGCUGGGUUCAGAACGUCGUAAUUACAUUGCGACCUACUACUAUAAAGUAGUAGAAAAAUUCGGCUAAUAUCGGUGGAAUCCUAUUUAUUAUAUUUGACCGGACGUAGAUGGGGCUAUACCGAGGGAAGUUCAAUGCAAAUUGGACCCCGUAACGACUGAUUCCAAGUACCGAGAGGGAACGGAUGAGAUCAGAAGUCAUAUUUUUUCUUCUAUAAACAAUAUUCUGAUCAUACGCCGACUCCCAGUCAGUAGACUGGGAUGAAGAUAUAGUCUAUGCCACUAGUAAUAGUGGAACAUCAUGGAGACAGUUCGGUCUCCUAUCUGUCGUGGGCGCUUGAGUGUUGCGGGGAUUCUUCCCUAGUACGAGAGGACCGGGAAGGAUGAACCUCUUGUGUACCAGCUGUUCUACCAAGGGCAUCGCUGGGUAGCGACGUUCAGUCGGGAUAAACGCUGAAAGCAUCUAAGCGUGAAGCCCACCCCAAGAUUAACACUCAUUAUUCAGACCUCCGCGAGAUGAGCGGGUGUAUAGGCCGUAGGUGGAAGCUCCGUAAGGAGUGAAGCCGAGCGGUACUAUUCGGUCGAACGACGGAUUCCC
rfam:Candidatus Thrbacteria bacterium RIFCSPLOWO2_02_FTLL_49_11 rifcsplowo2_02_scaffold_7410, whole genome shotgun sequence.